AUUCGGAUCUGGGCUUAUUCACAAUCAAGUUGAGCCCUAUAAGAGAGCGAGACUGGAUCAUUGCACAUCCGAUUGGGUUGACCUCUGCGAUUAUUCCUAAUGUGAAUAACUCGUUCGUGUAAUUUUUGGUAGCCGGGAAUGGCGUACGCG